ensembl:lncRNA
AUUUGUUUUAAACUCUGUGAAAUGGACAUGAGUGCAUUCACCCCCAUGUCAGGAUAUAUUCAGUGUAGCACAGAGGGAGGGUGUGUGUAAGCCUGAAGUAUUCUACAGGGAUGGCUGUGCUAAUCUGGGGAGUGCCUGCUCUGUUUCUAGAGCUAACUCUCUGCACCUGGUACCCCAAUCAACGCUUGUAAAACUAUCCUUCACUAUGCCAUACUUCUGCCUGCAGCAAUAUGAAUAGGAAUCAGCUUUCAGCUUCUGAUAAACCCAGCGACUCAUUGUCCAGCUUCCUGUUCCUGAUAUGCAGAACACAUGUCAGAACAACUGGAGGGAUGACAACAAUGAGAGAUGAAAAAUGCUGAGCUUGAAGACUGAUACCUGUCUAAUCUGUUCCUAAAAGAAAACAGCCAGACUACAGAUGUCACAUGGAAGAAACAUAAUGUUCUGACAGUGUGCAAAGUCCACCCUCUCCAUACUGUGCUUGUCCUAAAUUAACACAUCUCAUGUCUGACUGUGAAUUUCAGGAAUUUGGACUUGGCCAGGUCUGGUUCUGGAUACUGCAACACUUAGUAAGACAAUAAAUAACAUCUACAGGAAUGUCCAGCUGAAGAGAAAAAGGUACCAUUGGCAUUACAUACUCCCAGGGCAACCAGUAUUUGGAAACAGCAAAGUUUUUGGAAUUCAGCACUGUUGCUUAAGUACUGCUGUGGGCUGAAAGAGGUGAGCUGUCCAUGAUGAAAAGGCAAGAACAGACUGAAUGAACAGGUCAUUAAUAUUUUGACACCCUGUCAUGGGGUUCAGAUUUCAGUUUUACUAUUGUCUGUGUGUCUUGAAGAAUGGGAGGAACAGUUGUCUGCUUUUCUAUUACACCCACUGAGGUGAAGAUACGGAUUCUCAGCAUCUCUUAAAAUGGGGCCUAAGUUAUCAUCUAAGAAGGAAAAAAAAUGCUGCAAUAGCAUCAUUUAUUCACUGCAGCACUGAAACUGAUUUUCAAAAAAGACAUGAUCACGCCUUAUAAUAAGCAAAGAAUAUAUAGAGAGAUGCCUAUAUAAAAAGCUCAGUUCAGUAACUGUGGGCAGGUUUCAGGAGAUCUAAUGGAGACACGUUUUAACCAAAGCAAAUUAAAUCCUUUCUGAGCAAACAAGCAAGUGCAGUUGGGUUCAUAUCUAUUAAAUAAUUGAAGCAUUUGGCUCACGGUGUCAUAUUUACACACCAAAAUUAAACACCUAUGAGCACUAUUCGGUAGAGAGUUUCUUUACUCAGAAAGGAGCUCUUGGGAAUCACAGGUCAGCCAUAGAAUAUGCCAAAAGGCAGCUAUUUCUCCGGACUUGCCACUUUGCUAUAUGUGUCUUUAUUAAGUUAGGAGUUUCCCACCUCAACUGCGGUGCAGCAAUCUGUUUCCAUCUAUCUUUUGUUUGGCAGAUAUUGGGUUGGGCACUUGCCUGAGGAACAGGGUGGCCUUAUUGAAUUAAUUCCACAGAGUAAGAGUUGAAAAAUACAUGUAUUACUUUCCUAGCUAGAAGAGUUAGAGGUAAAUCAUUCUUUUACAACUGAUUUUUUUUUUUUUUUUGUAUAGAAGAAGUAUAUAAGAUUCAUUAAUUCCCAAGAGACUGUAAGCAGAGGGAUCAUGACUUCCCAGCUGUGUGAGGAAUGUACUCCCAUGGAGCUGUUAUAUCAGUAACAAGAAUAUCCACAAUUACAGCACCUUUGGCUAAGAUAAGCAUUAUGUUUUGGAGGCUGGACCACUCUUCAGUUAUGAAGGAGGAAGUCUAUACUGUGGUUCAAAAGCACCAUUACAAAUAUAAUGUUGACUUGCUGUCUGUUGAACUAAGUCCAGUAUCACAGUUUAACUGUAGCAGCGUUUAAGCUCAUUCCAAGAUUUGAGCAUGUUUUGCUGAAAUCAGUGCUGCUGUGAGCUAGAAGGCAGUUAUUUCUCAUUUUGCCUGCUCUUGAGCCCUUAAAAAAUCCUGAAUAUUCCAGUAUUGAUAGCCCCUAGAUAUAUGGUGCUCAACUUUGUCCAUUUUGUGUCUGACCCCCUCUGUACAGUGCAGUUUUCCUCUGAGGGAAGCUGGCUGUGAAUGGUUACGUUGAGUUACACCUUCUGCAAAUCAGAAGUAAACAAGAGGCUGGAUUUAUGCAUUUGCCCUGUCCAAAUUUGAAUCUAUCUCAGCUUCUUGGCCAAUUUGAAACAAUGACUAAACAAAGAAAAAAACAAAACAAACCACCAUAAACUUGAACUCUUGUUGUCUUGCCACUGUUUAAUUGAGGGUUGACAAGAAAAUUUAGUGCUACAUCUGUGGCAGUGUUAAACUGCAGUUAUUAGGAACUUUUGCAGCAAUGCGUAUGCUUUCUCUUGUUCACUUUCACACUGAGCUAUAAAGUUUCACUACAGCAUUCUUUUCCAGGUUGCUGCUGUAUUCUCAUCAUUAAUCAUUGAGUGAAAUUUUGUUUCUGCUGUGUCUUCUGUACUGUUUUCAAAGUUUUGUUUUUAUUUCCCAAGCACUGCUUUCAUCCUGCCUUGAAUCAUUUACUGUUUUUCAGUUAAUCCACUCUAGUGGAGUGGCAAAUAAGACUGUCCCCAAAGACAUGCCUGCUGCUGACUGUAAGCAUUUCUUUUUUUAUAUUGUAAUCACACCAGAUGAUAUUGUGAAAUGAAUCUCAUCUUGCAAUACAGACUGUGAGCUAUAUGGAAAGCAAUCAUAAGAAAGUCUCUAUUGUAGACAGGUUGAACCUAUAUUAAAUUAAUGGAAAUCAGUUUGUGUGGGGUCAAACCUGAAAUUAUCACCUUCAACAAAGCCUGACAUGCUAUUUGUAUAAUUACUGUUCAUUAGAAUAUAACUUGUGAAUCAACAACAAAAAAAGAAAGGUUGCAUGCACUAUUUAUUUUAGAAGAUCCUAUGGUUCUCAUUUGCCCUUGCUUUUGUUCUCUCCCUUGUCACAUUUAAAAGAUUCUACAAGUCCAGCUACAGGAGAAGCAAAGGCCUCUGCUCCAGGCACAAGUGUCCUAAAAGUCAGAUGCAGAAAUUCUUCUGGAAGAGAUACCACCCAGUUUCGGACUAGCAUACUUGGUAACUAUUUGGGGUAGAUCUUUUAAAACCUCUGAAGAAAUGUCUUUAUGAAUUGCAUACCCUGAUUGCAGUGUGGACACAUUCUGAGUCACUUGUGAGACAUCGUGUGUGUAUUAUGCAACUGCUGAAGGAUUCAGAUCAGUAUACACAUCGGGAUAGUGAGUGCAAUCAUGCCUUAAUGCAUGUCUGGCCUAGAGACAUGUUGUGAAGUGUCUUCAGUAAGAAGAUCUCACCAGUGUUUUUAUAGCUCCAGCUGGCUGCUGAGUGAUUCAAUUAAGUUUUUUAGGAUGACAUACCAUUUUGCAAACAAAGUGCCACAUACUUAGUAGUUUAACAGUAAGGAAGGCAAGAUGAGGGCAUGUCAGUAAAGAAGAGCUUCCCACUUUGUUUUGAUUUAUGGUUCAUUCUUGUAAAAAAAAAACCAACAAAACAAAACAAACAAACAAAAAAUAACAUAUUCUGGAGCAUGAUUUUGUCUAGUUCCCCUCAAUUACCAGUAAAACCUCAUUUAUCAGUAGAAGAUACUUCUUAAUAUGUGAUAAGAAGUGUGUUGUUAACUUCAUCCAGAGAGAAAUACAAAUAGAUAGAGCAAGGAUGAAGCAAUGCAACUCCCAUCAGAAUGUAUGACUGUCAUCGUAUCUAAUGAGUAUCACUGUACAUACAUGCAUACUCCAUUAUAGCAACACCAAGAGAUAAGAGAGCAGGAUUCUACGUGUGUUGACAUCUUCUAUAUCUGGUUUCUGCAAAUAUAGGACUCCAGAUAGAUGAGCUCAAUUAAAUAGUUCACUUGUGAAAAACAAAGCAAAUGCUAGUAUAAGAAUUCCUACAUUCUAUAUUACAACAUUUGGACAAACGGAAACACCCUAUCUGGCUAACCUCAUUGUAUCUGAUGCUUAUAAAUGUUUUAAACACGGUUCCUCAAAAUGAAAAGAAUACAUAGUUCUCCAUGUUAACUGCUUCUCUGGGAAAAAGUAGUGUUGGUACAGCCUGAGGAGGGAGUCAUGUUGCAAUCUCAGCACCAGCUUUGCAUACAGGGAGGUUGGUGGGAGUGCAGGCAGUUUAAAUAUAGGAAAGGUCUAAUUGCCACUAAUCAUAUGAUUACUUACAAUUACUUAAUAUAGCUCUGGAAUUAAAAAAUAAAAAUACAUUAUAUUUAGGCACUGAUAUAUAACCCUGGCAUAAGGAUGUGCUUUUGGCAAAAGUACACUGUAAACACAUAGUAAAUGGAAAGGCACUGCCUUGAGGAGCUAUCAGUCUUGGGUUUAUUACAAGGUGCAAUCGGAGGAAACACAUGUAUAGGAGCUGAAAUAAAAAGGAUGUAGAAUGAAUAGUGCAAGCAUGCUUUUUCACAGGCUUUCUGUGUGUAUGAUAUCACAGUGAGCAAGGCGGCCCUGGGGCCCUCCUGCUUUGAGCUGUGGCUUAUUUAGGCACAACUCCCAUAGGCUUCAGAUAGAGUUUUGACUUAAAUGGAACCAAGUAAGAGAAAUAAGGGCUUGUUGCAAAAUGAUGAUCAGGUAUGAACAAAGGGAUGAAUGUGUUUCCCACUAUGCUGGCUUAGCAUUGCAAAGAAAAACAAAGCCUGGGAGGAACAUAAAGCAGCUUUUUAUAAUUACGGUUCUUUUUGAGUUAGCCUGAUCCCUCCUCUUUCCUUCCUUUACCUUCCCUUUCUCCUCCCAAAAUAAUAAGUUUUGCCAAUAAUUUUAAGGAAGUCUCAAAGGGCCAGAUGGAAUUCAGAGAAAGGGAUCUAACAGUUUCAUUUCAUUCUUCUUUCUGCUUAUUUUACCCCCUCCCCAAGUUUUCUUGCAAUUUAUUUCUGUGGCUUAUUGCACAAAAUGGAGGUGGUGAGGCAAAAAUAGAAGUUAAUGGUACUACCACUGUUUGUUUCUAUUAGCGUUUACAUGUGAAAUGAAGGCAUUCUGGAAGAGAACCAGACUGGCCAGUAAAACCUUUCACCCUCAUAAACUGUACAUUUGGUUUGACUUUGGCUUAGAUCCCAGAACUUGUCACAAGCUUUAUUAUAAAGCUGUAGUGUAGCUACAGUUUUGUUAGCUUUAUUACAAUGGCUCCCCUCCUUAAAAAAAAAUAAAAAUAAAAAAGAAAGAAAAAGAAGAAGCGAGCAAGAAAAGCUUUUGUUCAUUCUGAAUGCACUUCAGAUUCUGGAAGAAAUACACAAGAAAGUACAAUUAGCUAGAUAACUGGUCAGCAUCAAUCAUCAGAAUAUAAAUGAAGUUUAUCUAAAAUUUACAAAAAUGAUACAUCACCUCCUUAAAAUAGUCCAAGAGUGACUCAUCACAUAAACAAUAAGGCAGCCACCAACACUCAGGCAUGUAACAACUUCUGAGAAAGCACAGGCCCAGCACUGCCAAAGAAGAGUCUACAGAUUGACUGGAGAUAUGGACAUCUGGAGGGAAGAUGCAUGCUACACUUCAAGAUGAGAUUUUUUUCUAUAAGCUUUCCCAGAGGGGUAAUAUAGCUCUGGAGGAAUUCACUAAGGCAUAUAUAAUGAAAACAAGAAGAGAAGGAAAAGAAAUGUGUUAUGCAAUAUGUGAUUACAAAACUGUUGGUCUCAUCCUACUGUCAUGCAUCCUGUGUCUCCUCUGCACAGAGCUCCCACUUCAAGGCCAAGUUCAUGUGAGAAUAGUGCAGGUUACACACUAGUAAUGGGAUUUAAUAGGACUGCUUUGCUCAAUAAUUAUUUGUGAAUUAUUAGAUCCUGUAAUUGCAGAUUGAACAGAUAGAUAUUGAGAGGAUACAUAAAACUGCACUGGAAGAUUAGUUUGUUCAUUGCACUAGUUUGGGAUUUAAAAUAUGGUCUUGUACUAAAGGGACUAAUUUGAGACACAGAAAGUCUGUCUGACUCUAGUUGCUGUCAUUUGAUUCCUUUUUGAUCCCUGAGUAAGUAAACUACACUACCUAUAGUUCAAUUCUUAUUGAGAGAACGGUGACCAGAUUAGUCCAGUCUAAAAAGUUUAGGCUGGUCUUCCAGUCUAAAAAUUAUUUUAAUCAUCUAUUUAGGUUUUCCAUGAAGAAACCACAGUUGGUACUGGUUGUAAACUGCCAUGGUGCUGCCUGAAUCCUCCAUGGUGUUGGGCUGAAAACUUUGCCAUGCUGAUACCAGUGCUGAAGUAUGCAUCUGGAAGAAUCAUUGGCAUCACUGAUGAGUAAAUCACAUUGUGUUUAUUUGCUUUGGGGUCCUUUCUAAAUACAGUACAAUGACAUCUAACCUGACGUAAGCCUCUCUGCUGUGCUAGAACAUUGGUGAUGUACCUCAGCAACUUGUUAAAGGGAGAAUUUGUGUAGCAGAUGAGUAUUGUAUGCAAAUGGCAAUUAAGUUCAUUUCCACAGGAAAAUCAGUUGUGUAAAGGUACAUUGUUAAUGAAUUUCUCUUCACAAUAAGGAUGUGCAACUCUCAAGAAGUGUUUAUGGAACAUUGUGAAUUUUAAUCUGAUUAUCAGAUAUCUCAAACUAUCCUUGAAAGCUCAGUCAAAUUACAUUUUAAAAAGCCAAAAUGAAAUUAUGAAGGAUUUUCAUCUAUCAAUAAGAGGCAACCAACAUGCAGCUUGAAAAAAAGGGCCCAGCAUUGUAUGGCACUGCCUAUAUUCUGCGAAGUGUUGAGGAUAAGAUUGUUUUAACAGUCAGCGGGAGUCAGAGCCUCUAUACCUCUACAAAUCUCUCUCUCUGCUUUACAUUCUUAUUGCUUUCUUUGAGGGGAGGGAAGUUUGAAGGUCACGGAAUCAAGCUAUUUGCUUAAACAGAACCAGAUGAUUAAUUACUUUUUUGGGGGUUUUGUUGCUCUGAAAACUUUAUCCCAGAAAAGCCAGAGGACACACAAGGUGGUUGGAAGAAAGUUAUAUUAAGAUUACAGAAAUAUUGUGCGUCACAGUUCUCUGGGAAGUAGCUUUUCAUUGUUUAGCAUGAGAGAAAGAAAUACUAACAACUCAGGCUACACAGCUGGGAUUUGUGCUGUGUAAUAAGUUCCAAAUAAAGGAGUUUUAUAAUAAACUUUUAAAUAUUGCACUCAUGCUGAAAGUACAUAUAUUGGAAAGUUUCAGACUGAAAAAUAAUCAGCGCAAUUAACAUUCAAACUGGAUUAAUUGUGAUUUUAGCUUAAAAACUCCCACUCCAUUCUUUCAUGCCUUCCCCUCCAAAAAAUUUGGAAGUCAUCAUUGUAAAUAUCACCUCAAAAAUCUUGCUCUGCGUUUCUUGUUAUUUAAAGCAGAGUUUAUGUACUCAUUUGGGCAAAAUAAGAAUGAAUCUAAUUUAUUCUUAAAUCAGAAACAGAUCCAGAUGAAGAUUUCAAAAUUAUGGGAAUAUUUUUAAUUUAGAUUUCUGUGCAUUUAAGUGGUAUGUUCUAGGGAAAAUGCUGAUUAUUGUCAAAUGUUGAAGAAUAGGUUGCAAAAUCUAUUAAAACCACUGGGAAAACUGCAAACACUUUUGAUAUGCUUUGAAUCAGGACCAUUCUGGAACAGUCCCUGAAUAUAACACUUGGGAUGGGCUGAAAUGUAUCACAUUUACUUUUCCAAAGGUGCUGUUUAUCACGGCAAAUGGACAGGUUUGAGCACCAGCACAAUCUACUUCCUUCUUUGGACUUUUUUUGGCUCAGUUUUGGCAUGGACUGAUCACCUUCUCCCAGCUGAUGGCCAAACACCAUUUGGAUGAUUGCUGUGGACCUAAGGCUCUUCUCAAGAGGUGAUAUGGUUGUGGUAACUCGAUUUAGGGGCAAAGAGGGGAGGGCUGACAGUGUGAGCCCAAACCUUGUUAUACCAUUUAUCCUUAGGGCCAGAGAACGGUUUUGGAAAAGUUAGCAAGUCAAAGGUUUAGUGGAUGAGAGGCCUCUGUCAAGUCUUGUGCAAAAAUUGCUUUUUUUUUCCAGUGUCAAUUUACUGUUUUUAAGUGGGUUUACUCCAGAGUACUAUUACCAUAUGUACUUUCUCAUCCCUCUCUUCUUUUUACUAAUCUUGCUCAGCACAUGAGUUGAUUGUAGUAGUAAAUGGUUUGGCCAAACAUAUGGCAAUGGACAGAAUUAAGGUCCUGGUAAGUAGAGAGAUCAGGCUGUCUUCUGCAUGCCCUCUUGGUCAGUAAAAUCCCAUACACACCAGUGCUACUCUGUUUCCGGAUGUCCACCAUGCCUUGCAUCCCACCAGCCAGGCUGCAGGAAGAGGGGUAAAGCAGCGAGGCUGUUUCCUCCAGGCUGAGCUGCUCCACAGCUCCUUUAGAAGAAAGCAAAUCCUUUGCUACCUUUCUUUUGGUCUGCCUCCUGUUGGCUUCCCCUUCCUCAGCACCAGGAGCUGGUUGAGCCCACUAAUAACUCCAUUCUUCAUCAGUGCCACUGAAUGGGCAUUUUACAAGGCAAAGUUUGACUUAAAGCUCUUAGUAAAAGAAAGAAAUCCUUUUUAUAAUUACAUGAAAAGGACAAUUAUUUUCUCGCAUUGGGAUGAGAUCAGAAUUGGGCUUUCUGCAAUUUUUAUGUCCAAUAUAGAUUUGAUUUACCACAAUCCCCUGAUGAUUUUGGUGCUGAUAAAUAAAUGUAUUUAUAUGUUGUGCUCUUACAUUCCUAGUACUAACUGAGGAAGCAGAACAAUAACAUACUCUUGUCAAUACAAGCACUGCCCUGGGAAUUGACUAAUUAACAUAAAACUCAGCCCUGCAGGGACAUUUCCAGGUUCAUUUUUUGCUGCUUCAGCAAACUAUAGGGUUUGAGCUGUUAACUACUUUCAGAUGCUCUUUGUCUCUGAAGAAAGAAAUAAAGAACAUCCACGUUGCUUUAGGCAAGUUAAUGAUUCUACAGAACACUUACCUUUUUACCAUAUGCUUCAUGGUGGAUUAAAAUCCUGAAGGAGUUGAGGAUUAUAUAGCAUGUAUAGUCCUUUGGCAGAAAAACACUUACUCUGAACUAAAAGUGAAUGGCUGAAUGUGACAUUUAUAUUCAUUGUUUUUCCAGAACUGCGUACUGAGGAUGUUUGAAUUUACUCAAAAUAAUUCUUCCAGUAAUCCCAAAGCAGAGGUUUUGUAGGUGCUUUGAUUUCACGUGUUGUCUUAAGGUUAUGACAAAUAGUUCACAGUGGCUACUGGGAAAACUGGAGAAGUUUGCAUAUUCACUUCUGCAAAGUUAGAAGGAAAUCUGGCCUAACUUGGCAAAGGGAUGUGCUUACAGUUUUGAGGAACACAUAAUACUUGGGUUUUUGUGUGUCUGUGUGAUUUACUUUUCACUCAUGUUCAUUCCCUUGGAUGACAAAAGCAAAGUUUCUUGUCUACAGGAAAAAAUAGGAAAUAAAAGAGAAGGAAAGUCAAACUAAAUAAGGCUUUAAUCUCACAGAUAAAGAAAAAAACUUUCCCUCCUUCUUGUAGUGUUUGCUGUUAUUAUAGACUGUUCUUAAUUUCCACAUGUGCCCAUUGCUUUUGUUUAUGAAUGAACAAAAUGACAUACUGCAGUUCACAGAAAUCAUCUGUAGAAAGAAACAAGGGAAUAAUUUUCUAUCACUGCUGAAAACUCUUCAGUAGAUCUUCAUGUGCUGCAGCUAAAAGGACCUGAAAAUUACAUUUUGAAUGAGCACAUAUACUUUCAAAGUAUUUUGUCAGAGCAGAAAGCUAAGUACACGUGCAAAAUGCACAUUUGAGAAAGCCGAAGUCACAGCACUUGCAGAUACACACAAUAUUCAUAGUUUUGUUUUGUACAUACAUUUACUUGUUGGUGCAUGAAUACAUAAAUUUUGUGAGUGUGCUUCAGGCAUUAGUAUGAGAAGCCGUGUGUAUAUAUGUGACUGUUUGUGCCUAUUAGCACAAAUUAUUACAAUUGCUCAUACCUAUCUGAUCCUGCUGUAUAGGCUUCAUAGGCUUUACCCAUUUGGAAUAAAAUUACACGAUGUAUGUCUGCCUGCACAUUUUUUUUUCCCCCAGCAGUUUUCAAACACAAUAAUUCAAUAUUUGCUAAAAAAGGAAGAAAAAUACCUUGUAAAACACAUAAUGUUUUACUCUUUAUCAGGCAAUGUGGAAAGGUUUCAUUUGUAUUGCUGUGUCUCUUGGGCUUCAGAACAGGAAAGCGCUCAUUCAAAAUGUAACGUCCAAGUCCUUUUAGCUACAGCACAUAAAGGUCUACUGAAAAGUUUUCGGCAGUGAUAUGAAAUGAAGUGGGAUAACUUAGAGAAGUCAGGAGGAUGAGAGGAAAUAAAAACAAAUAUGGGGCCAGUAAGUAGCCAGGACUAUCUGCCAGGACAAGGUGACUCCUGGGAAAAGGAAAGAGAGAUGAGUGACUACAGCAUGAGGAGUCAGAAGUAGGGAAAAGGAAAUACUGCUAUAGUAGUAUUUUGAAUAGGAUGAGACAGCAAGUGUCAGGGUGGUCAGACAAAAAACAGCCUUGGUGCCCUUCUAGUACUUGGAGCAGUACUAAAUGUUUGUGAAAGUCACUUGGGAAGAUUUUCAGUUCCUCUAAUCUCCAUCCACAUUAGCAGCAGCAAUCUACUUCUGCCAUUGUUUACUAGAACAACUGUCAUGCCAGUUUGCAGAGAUCUGUGCAAUGGACUUCAGUGUUUCCAGUAUUGCUGAUUCUGGGAGUCAGCAAAUGCAAAGAUGCUAGAAAUAUGUCGAUGAAGUAUUGCUAUUCCUGUUUAUUUGUAUGCUCUCAUGAUCAGUAAAAUAACUUUCCUUAAUUUAGUCUGCCUUUACUCUUCAUGGAAAGCUUAAGGAAAACUAGGCAUAAGCAGCUUGGUUUCAUUCAAUUUUUCUAUGGAGGUCUCAUCCUGCACACACCAAUGGUGGCCAUCUAUCAUAUAUUUACAUUAUGUUGAAAUGAAGGGAACAUGACAUUUUUCCUUUAUUGUCAGGAGGUGUCAAAAGUAUUAAUAGCAUAAUUUUUGCUAGCUGGCUAAAAUUCUCACACUGCAAUCUUGUGCAUCAGCAUUUUUUUUUUUUUUAAACCACAGAUGGUCAUUUAUGUAACACUGUUGGAAAUUGUUGCCAUGUUCCACAGCAACAGGAAAAUGGGAUACAUCUGCACUUUGUGGGGAAAAAUACAAAUGAACUAGAAGCUAAGCAAACAUUUAAAUUACAGGGAAACGGGACUGCGAUAAGCCCUGGUCUGCAUGAGCAGGAAGAGAGUGUCAGCCUCACCCAUACCCUGAAAAAAUGCUCACAUUUAUGGGCCACUCUAUUGUACUGAGUGGAAGUUUGUUUAUGCGGGACCUUCCUUCCCUCAGGACUUCCUCUGAGAGGAAAUGUCGUCACCAUUUAGUAGGAGUCAAUUGUUAUGCAUUCAAAACUCAAACAUAAAAUAGUAUCCCCGAAUGCAACGAAGUGCAAAGGAAUAAAUAAGAUUUAUGCAUUUACAUAUUUGGAAACAUUUACAAAAGUUGUUCUUGCUCACUAAGACUUUCAGAGAACUGGGUAAAAGCUAAUAAUGCUUGAGUAAGUAGCUCAAAUAAUAUCGUUUUAUAGGUGCUCAAGAUGCUACUCAGUAUUUGAUGAAUUCCACGACUUUUGUCAUCGCUGCUAGUGCUCUAUGGCCGAUGUGGGAAUAUGUUUAAACAGAAGGCUGAAAAUCAGUUUGCAGCUGUAAAACCAGGGUCAUGCUCUUAUGGGAAUACUUGGCUAAGUCUGUUCCAUGUUUUGUACUGAAUGGCUCUGGAUCUGAAGCGCUCUGGGAAAAUACCUACAGAGCUGAAGACCUGAAUGCACAGGUUGAACUGGACUGUGCUUAUGGCCAGCAGGCAACCUAUGUCCACAAGGGGAAUGAAUCCAGGCAGUUUUCUUUGACAUAAAAAGGAAGAAGACUGAAUGUCUGUGGUAACUGAACUAUCCAAAUCACCUUAAUCAGUAGCCUCACUUGAGCACAGGAUAAAUGAUGCAAAACAGGCCA